rnacentral:other from 1 species
ACGGUUAUAAAUCAACAUAUUGAUUUAUAAGCAUGGAAAUCCCCUGAGUGAAACAACGAAUUGCUGUGUGUAGUCUUUGCCCAUCUCCCACGAUGGG